rnacentral:rRNA from 1 species
UGCCGCGUGAGUGAAGAAGGCCUUCGGGUUGUAAAGCUCUUUCGGACGGAAAGAAAUCGCACAGGCUAAUACCUUGUGUGGAUGACGGUACUGUAAGAAGAAGCACCGGCUAACUACGUGCCAGCAGCCGCGGUAAUACGUAGGGUGCGAGCGUUAAUCGGAAUUACUGGGCGUAAAGCGUGCGCAGGCGGUUUUGUAAGACAGGUGUGAAAUCCCCGGGCUUAACCUGGGAACUGCAUUUGUGACUGCAAGACUAGAGUGCGGCAGAGGGGGGUAGAAUUCCACGUGUAGCAGUGAAAUGCGUAGAUAUGUGGAGGAAUACCGAUGGCGAAGGCAGCCCCCUGGGUCGACACUGACGCUCAUGCACGAAAGCGUGGGGAGCAAACAGGAUUAGAUACCCUGGUAGUCCACGCCCUAAACGAUGUCAACUAGGUGUUGGGGAAGGAGACUUCUUUAGUACCGCAGCUAACGCGUGAAGUUGACCGCCUGGGGAGUACGGGCCGCAAGGUUGAA